rnacentral:rRNA from 1 species
CUUCGGACAUUUUUCAAGGUGCUGCAUGGUUGUCGUCAGCUCGUGCCGUGAGGUGUUAGGUUAAGUCCUGCAACGAGCGCAACCCCUGUCACUAGUUGCCAUCAUUAAGUUGGGGACUCUAGUGAGACUGCCUACGCAAGUAGAGAGGAAGGUGGGGAUGACGUCAAAUCAUCACGGCCCUUACGCCUUGGGCCACACACGUAAUACAAUGGCCGGUACAGAGGGCAGCUACACAGCGAUGUGAUGCAAAUCUCGAAAGCCGGUCUCAGUUCGGAUUGGAGUCUGCAACUCGACUCUAUGAAGCUGGAAUCGCUAGUAAUCGCGCAUCAGCCAUGGCGCGGUGAAUACGUUCCCGGGCCUUGUACACACCGCCCGUCAAGCCAUGGAAGUCUGGGGUACCUGAAGUCGGUGACCGUAACAGGAGCUGCCUAGGGUAAAACAGGUAACU